GGUGGCUUGGGAGAGCGGUUAUCCAGCGGACUGCAAAUCCGUUUACGCCGGUUCAAAUCCGGCAGCCACCUCCA
rnacentral:tRNA from 2 species